rnacentral:tRNA from 1 species
AUUUUAAUAGCUUAUAAAGAGUAUAAUAUUGAAGAUAUUAUGGAAACAUUUUGUUUUAAAAUA